AGUGAACGCUGGCGGCAGGCCUAAUACAUGCAAGUCGAACGGCAGCACAGCAGAGCUUGCUCUGUGGGUGGCGAGUGGCGGACGGGUGAGGAAUACAUGGGAAUCUGCCCAGUCGUGGGGGAUAACGUAUGGAAACGUACGCUAAUACCGCAUGCGCCCUAAGGGGGAAAGCCGGGGACCGCAAGGCCUGGCGCGAUUGGAUGAGCCCAUGUUCGAUUAGCUAGUUGGCGGGGUAAAAGCCCACCAAGGCGACGAUCGAUAGCUGGUCUGAGAGGAUGAUCAGCCACACUGGAACUGAGACACGGUCCAGACUCCUACGGGAGCAGCAGUAGGGAAUAUUGGACAAUGGGGGCAACCCUGAUCCAGCCAUGCCGCGUGAGUGAAGAAGGCCCUCGGGUUGUAAAGCUCUUUCAGCAGGGACGAAGGGUGACUGACGGUACCUGUAGAAGAAGCACCGGCCAACUACGUGCCAGCAGCCG
rnacentral:rRNA from 1 species